rnacentral:rRNA from 1 species
UAGGCAUGCAAGUCGUGCGAGUAAGGGUUUGGUGCUUGCAUUGGACCCGGAAAGCGGCGAAAGGGAGAGUAACGCGUGGGUAACCAACCCCCAGGCCCGGGAUAGCGGCGGGAAACUGCCGGUAAUACCGGAUAAUGUCCCCGGACCAAAGGUGUGAUUCCGCCUGGGGACGGACCCGCGUCCUAUUAGCUUGUUGGUGGGGUAACGGCCUACCAAGGCAAAGAUGGGUAGCGGGCGUGAGAGCGUGGCCCGUCUCACUGGGACUGAGACACUGCCCAGACACCUACGGGUGGCUGCA